UUUGAAACAAAAAGAAACAAGAAUAUAUCAGUUAUCCUUGGAAGAUAUCAGAGCUAUAUGAAAAUCAACAAAUUUUCAAUGUCACGGAACUGCAGCACUGAAACUAGUAAAGAGAGAACUGAGAGCAAACUUUAAAGAAUGGAGUUGGUUUGUUUUAGAAUUAUAACAGAGUUAAAGGGAACUAUAUUUCUUGAUAUUAAGGCAAGUGACAAAAAAAAAAGUUUUUUUGAUUAUAAGGCAUAACCAAGUCAAGUGGUCAGCAAUUAAACAGAUUUAUUAUCAUUGACAACAGAACUCAUGUACCAAACAUUCCUUAAACAGUUAAUGAGCAUUAUGAGGACCACUUCGUUAACUCAAUAACUCGGAAGGAAGAACACUUCUUAAGUCAUUCUAUAUGACAUAAUAUACAUCAUCGCAUCGUAAUGCGAUUACCCUUCUUCAAUUGGAUAAAGUCAGAGAGCUGUUAAGCUUGCUCAGUAUAAAUUGAGUAGCAAUGUCUUUGGCUAAUGACCAAAGAAAGUAACAAGAGCAGUACCUUUAGACGUUAAAGUAGUUUUAUCUGGUUCAUUUAAGGGGGAGGUAUCUGGAUUCAAUUUCUUCACGCGGGGAAGUAAACUAUCUUUGGAUGCAGAUUCCAACUGCUUGUUCUGGAACCAACUUUGCACCUAAAAUAUAAUCACAGUUACAGAGAAUUUAGAGUAGUGCAAGUUUAAGAACUUAGUAUGAACAAAUAACCAGAACAAUGAUAAGAAAUUGUAUAUGAAUAAAUUUUAACCUCACUCCACUUCAAUUUCGGUUUCCCGGCACGGCCACGUGCGGAGCUGAAAAAGUUAAUUGUGCAGAAAUCAAUAUAAGAGACUUGGACCACACUAAAAAUUUAUAACAUAAAGUGCCACAUACAUCUUGAAGUUGUAAACAGUCUAGCAAGUGUGCUAGACACUAUACGAACAGCAUAAAACAUAACUUACUUGAAACUUCUUGCAAAUUUCUUAAAAAAUUCAACGUUCAAACAAUUAUCUCCUGUUUCGUUGAGUGAUUUUUCCAUUUUCUCCACCUGUGUUCAGACCAAAAAAGCACAUAAAACUUAGGUUAGACUUUUGUGAGGUACUGGUACUACAAGAUGCGCUCUUUACAACAAUGGGGUGGGGAUUCUAAUAUAACUUAAUUCAAUAACCUAUUCCAACUUACAAGUAAAUAUAUAAGACUUCAGGAUAGCUAAUGUGCAACAUUGCAUAAAAUAUACACCUAAGAUAUGGAUGCCAAAUUUAUGAUGGCCAUUUUUUUAUUUUGUAAUGAUAUUAUAUGAUAAAUAAUACUGGAAGGGCAUUAGAGAUACAUGCCUAGAGCUUAUAAGAAUUAUUUUUUUAACGUUAAAUAUAGUGUCACACAUGGACACAGAUAUAGAAACUGAUGAUAAUCAAACCGACAGAAGCUUCACUUGCAAAGGCUACUCAAUGUAUAUGUAAAAACUGGACAAUCAUCAUUUACUUUUAAUGGAACAACAAUUACUUAAAGCCAUAGGAAGUGAAAACGGGUAUAAAUUAGGAUUAUGACUAGUUUUCUGGCACACAAAAUUGAGAGUUAGAAACAGGUUAAAAAACAAUCAACACUGAUGCACAAAUCCUGAUGGCCAAAGGAUUACAAUAUCAUCUUUUAACUGUUACGCAAUAUCAUUUAGACAAAAUAUUUUAUAGUAAUUUUAUCAUUAGUUUAAUAAAUCAUAACAAAAAUAUCUAUAACUAGGAUCGUUAUGUUUGGAGUAAAAGACUUUAACUUUUACUACACUUGGUUUAGAUUCACUAUAGACAUAGCUGUAAUAUUUCAAGUUGAUUCAAUCCAAGCUGAAAAUUCUAAAAUUAUGAAUUGAGUAUAUUACUUGCUAUGAAUUUUACGGCAUCUGCCUUAUUGAGUAUAUAUAUAUAUUUUUUAUCAGGCCUUAUUGAGUAUAUUUGUCUCUUCUUUGACUACUUUCUACCACCUGUGCUGCGUCAACUACCCUUGCUCAUUAACUUAAUUUCCAUAUGCAUAUCUCUGGCUAACUGUGACAGACUAUUAGGUUUUCCCGAUUGUACAACCCGGUAGAAUAGAAAAAAUUUCCUUAAAAACCUCCGUCAUUGGUAAUGUAUGUAAGGUGCAAAACUCUACAAAAUAUCCCCGAAACUUAAUUAUCCUUAAAACAAAAAAUGUGCAACACCCCUCAAAUACAUGCCGAGUCUUAUAUAUGAAUCCACACAUAAGUUACUAAAAGGAUCCUCCACAGCUGUAUUUGAGGUCAAACUUGCUCAAAAUCAAUGUGCCAUUGGGCUUUUCUUAUAAGUCCCAGAAUAUAUAGCUAAGAUGCAAUUUUGAUUCGUCAAAGUCCAAUAAAUAUGCAGAAAAAAUUAAAUAUAUACAUAACCCAGAGGCUACAUUGAAGACAAAGAAGAGGGGUUUAACACCACUGUGUACAGACAAAAAAAUAUUCACAAGAAUAAACUUUCAAAAUAAUAAUAAAUAAUAAAUUAAUCAUCGGAAACAUGUAAGAAACAACAGCAGCCACAUGGGUUUUUUCAUCUAAGCAUACAAAAAAUAGAAAAUAACCUCAGGUGUUGUAAAAGUGGGGGACUUUUUGACUCUGGGCCUCAGACGAUCCAUGGUAGCUAAAACCCUAAUGUUAAAUCUUUGUCUGCACAGAGAGAUAAAUAGAUGAAUAAAUAUUAUACAUAUAUACGCGGAGAAACAAGGAGAGAAAUUGAAAAGUUUACAGUGGGUACACGACCAAAUUCUGUACUGGACUUUCUGACUAGUGUGUUCUCCGAGCAGUCCAAAUAUCAAGCGACUGUCAUCAACGAUAGAUUACAUACAUAAACUGUACAAUGUAUAUAUACAUAAACGACACCGUGUACUCGCUCUUGAAAAGAUACUUUGGUGUGUAUAUUCGAUUUGGAUUUUAAAAUAUUUUUUUCAUUCAUAAAAUUUGAGCGUAUUCAAUUGGUUAAAAUUUAUUAGAAUCUUGGAUAUUAAUCGUUUUUUUUUCAGUUGUAUUCCAAACUAUAAAAGAAUCUAUUUUACUUCUGUUUGAAUUUUACUCGGCUAUUCCUCGUGGAAAUAAACUAUUUUUGAUUCGUACGGAUUUCGUUCUCUUUUAUUCAGCACUACUUCUAUUAGUGUUAGGUAAAUUUGAUUACUCUAUUUUGAUCCAUUCUGUUCGGUGUGUUUGUACCGAUUUCGUUCUCUUUAAUUCAGCGAUAUUCAUGUUGCAAAUUGUUAUAUUUGUUUUAUCUUUACACUGUUCCUUCCGCGAAUAUUUAUUUGACUGAUUUUGUAAGCAUAAGUACUACUACCAAUUGCACCAACAAAUCAUGAUCUUUUGGGGGCCUGUGGUGGGCUUGUGGAUUACCCAGGUUGUUGCAAUUGGGUCAGUUUAUUUCGGCUUAUUUUCGGAGUUCGGGACUUGACCUGAUUUUCAAAAAAGACUCGGGAUUUGACCCGGGUUGUUUCAUAUGGUAUUCAGAGCAGGCUCUCGAAAGCUUGAUUCGUCAAGUUGCCGGAGGUGGGGACACGAAGGCUGGUGGUAUUAUCCCGCAAUGGACAGAGAUCCGGAGGCGGGGACACGAAACCAGCCGGUAUUAUCCCACAAUGACUAGAGAGGUUCGAUCUGAGCCUAUGGGCUAUCCGUUUCGGCCUGACGAGGACGUCAGGAAUUUAAGUGGGAGAGUUUGUAAGCAUAAGUACUACUACCUGUAAUCAUGAUCUUUUGAGGGCCUGCGGUGGGCUUGUGGAUUACCCAGGCUGUUGCAAUUGGGCCAGUUUAUUUCGGCUUAUUUUCGGAUUCGGAGUUCGGGACUUGACCUGAUUUUCGAAAAAGACUCGGGAUUUGACCCGGGUUGUUUCAUCGAUUGGUUAAAAUUUAUUAGAAUCUUGGAUAUUCGAUUGAGAUUUUAAAUUAUGCUAUAAAUUAUAGUAGUAUUUAAUUAAGAUUUUAAAUUAUACUUAAAAAUGUGAUGGUAUUCAGUUAAGAUGGUUUAAAAUUCAUUAAAAUCUGAUGGUAUUCAAAUGCUGAUGAUUUUUUUGGAUUUCAUAAAAUUAUGGAUUUUGUGGGAGUCUCAUUUCUCAAUGUAUUUAAAGUUUUUUGAAAUCUCACCAAAAUUCAUGAAAUUUUGAAGCAUUAUGCUUAAAUUCUAAAAAAUUUAUAUCAACUAUACGAUAUUUUAUCAAAAAACCACAUAAAAUCAAAAUCACAUGCAAUCAAUUAAAAUCCCAACCGAAUACACCUUCCUCCUUCUUAAAAAGAUAUAUGUCCCAGCCAUUGGUAUAUUUUUGUUCAAUAAAUUAUUUUAAAAUACUUUUUCUUUUUCUGUUUUAAAUUUUUUUCUAAAAUAAAAAAUUUUGAAAAUCAGAUGCAUGACUAUAUUUUACAACUUGAAAUAAGUGCAAGUAAUGCAGAAAAAAAUCUAUAGAAAUGAGGACACGGCGGAAGGACUAACGUUAAGUUCAAUCAGUAUUACACUGGAAUGAUAACAAUGUACUACCUACAUCCCAAAUUAGAUGUCCCUGUUGACUUUGGGCACGUAACUUUAGGUGCAUUGACCGUCUACUUCCGAAAUUUAUUUUUUUAUUUUUUCUUUUAUAAAUGAAAAUUUCAUAUUUUAAUUUUUAUUUGCAAAAAUAAAAUUUUAAAAAUAAGUCACGUAUCUAUGCGGUCAAUGAACCUUAAAUUGUGUGCCCAAAGUCAACGGGGCCAUCUAAUUUGGGAUGGAGGGAAUAUUACACUGGAAUGAUAACAAUGUACGGAUGUUAAUAGAUUCUAUCUUAUUUUGAUUUUAUCUGAGGUAUAAUAAAUUCUGUAGGAUAAGUUUCAUCUGAUUUGAUUAUAUGUGAAGAAAGGGUUUUUUUAAUUA
rnacentral:lncRNA from 1 species